ACAAACCUCAGAUCUUAGUUUCCGAUUUAGCAUCACAGCAUUUAAAAAGAGGAAUCAUACUGUAAUUGACUCAGACAUCUGCAACUCAUCGAAAGCAAAGCCUGAAGAUCAACUAAACAUCAGAAAUCAUGAGGACAGCUUACGUUUGUCUGAUACUUGGGGUGAUGCUGAUGGCGACCCUGAAAUCUGAAGCUCAGCCUUUUGCAGCUCCAGUCCCUGCGUUCUGCUGUUUCAAAUUCAUUGGCUUCAAAAUUCCAAUGAAUAAAAUAAAAAAUGCUGUGAGAACAAGCUCAUCUUGCUCAAACAAAGCCGUUGUGGUUACAACUGUAAAAGGCAACAUGUUUUGUGUGAAACCCGAAGAGACCUGGCUGCAGGAAAUAACAAGAGACAAAUUUAACUGAAGCAUCAGCCAUUACAAAUGCUAAUUUAAAUCAUACGGUUUCAUUGCUUCAUGCCUUAUAUCUGCCCUUUCUUAUUAAAUACAUUUUUGCACUUCUUUGCAUUAAUUAUGAAAAACCACAAUGUUAAACCUCAUUUGAUUUUGCACUCAAACUUUCCUAAAAAUAUACAUAAUUUGCAAUAUGUUCUGCUAAAAAUGCCAAUAAAUAAUAAAAUCGUA